AGGCCAACCACCACAGGCUUUGGAGGC
rnacentral:piRNA from 1 species